rnacentral:rRNA from 1 species
AUACGGAGGGUGCAAGCGUUGUCCGGAUUUACUGGGUUUAAAGGGUACGUAGGCGGCGAAUUAAGUCAGUGGUGAAAUGUGUCGGCUCAACCGGCAAAGUGCCAUUGAUACUGGUUUGCUAGAGUGUUGUAUAGGUGGGCGGAAUUGAUGGUGUAGCGGUGAAAUGCAUAGAUACCAUCAAGAACACCGAUUGCGAAGGCAGCUCACUGGGCAACAACUGACGCUGAGGUACGAAAGCGUGGGGAGCGAACAGGAUUAGAAACCCCUGUAGUCC